CAGUCGCCGCGGGAAUACGAAGGGUGCAAGCGUUACUCGGAAUUACUGGGCGUAAAGCGUGCGUAGGUGGUGGUUUAAGUCCGUUGUGAAAGCCCUGGGCUCAACCUGGGAAUUGCAGUGGAUACUGGGUCACUAGAGUGUGGUAGAGGAUAGUGGAAUUUCCGGUGUAGCAGUGAAAUGCGUAGAGAUCGGAAGGAACAUCUGUGGCGAAGGCGACUAUCUGGGCCAACACUGACACUGAGGCACGAAAGCGUGGGGAGCAAACAGGAUUAGAUACCCCCGUAGUCCUGUCUCUUAUACA
rnacentral:rRNA from 1 species